rnacentral:rRNA from 1 species
UUUCGCAAUGCCCGAAAGGGUGACGAAGCGACGCCGCGUGUGGGAAGAUGGCCUUCGGGUUGUAAACCACUGUCGGGAGUUAAGAAAGGUGUACGGGUAAAUAGUCCGUGCAUUUGACAAAAGCUCCGGAGGAAGCCACGGCUAACUCUGUGCCAGCAGCCGCGGUAAUACAGAGGUGGCAAGCGUUGUUCGGAAUUAUUGGGCGUAAAGAGCACGUAGGCGGCCCUGCAAGUCAGCUGUGAAAGCCUCCUGCUUAACGGGAGAAGUGCAGUUGAAACUACGGGGCUAGAGUGCGGAAGGGGAGAGUGGAACUUCUGGUGGAGCGGUGAAAUGCGUAGAUAUCAGAAGGAACACCGGCGGCGAAAGCGGCUCUCUGGUCCGUAACUGACGCUGAGGUGCGAAAGCCAGGGGAGCAAACGGGAUUAGAUACCCCGGUAGUCCUGGCCGUAAACGAUGGGCACUAAGUAGAGGGGUUUU